ACAAAAGCUAAGAAUGGAAAGAGUAGCCCAAACAAGAGUCAUCUCAGCGAGCCGGCGAUCGGUGCAAGGUCCGGCAUGACGACGUUCGGUGAAUGGGUCCAUUCGCUUCGGUCUGAACCCCGCACUCUGCGGGCAGUAGGCGCCGACGGCUUCCCUCCGUUAUCUCGGGGAACCCCGUUAGUCGUCUUGACGGGUCCAAGAGCAGUCGAUUUCGGCUGAAAUUCGGGUGGUACCGCGGAGCGUAUCUAGACACUUCGUCCCUUUA
rnacentral:ncRNA from 1 species